rnacentral:rRNA from 1 species
GAUGAACGCUGGCGGCGUGCCUAAUACAUGCAAGUCGAGCGAUUGGAUUAAGAGCUUGCUCUUAUGAAGUUAGCGGCGGACGGGUGAGUAACACGUGGGUAACCUGCCCAUAAGACUGGGAUAACUCCGGGAAACCGGGGCUAAUACCGGAUAACAUUUUGAACCGCAUGGUUCGAAAUUGAAAGGCGGCUUCGGCUGUCACUUAUGGAUGGACCCGCGUCGCAUUAGCUAGUUGGUGAGGUAACGGCUCACCAAGGCAACGAUGCGUAGCCGACCGGAGAGGGUGAUCGGCCACACUGAGACUGAGACACGGCCCAGACUCCUACGGGAGGCAGCAGUAGGGAAUCUUCCGCAAUGGACGAAAGUCUGACGGAGCAACGCCGCGUGAGUGAUGAAGGCUUUCGGGUCGUAAAACUCUGUUGUUAGGGAAGAACAAGUGCUAGUUGAAUAAGCUGGCACCUUGACGGUACCUAACCAGAAAGCCACGGCUAACUACGUGCCAGCCGCCGCUGUAA